GGAAUAUAUAGUUUUAAAGAAAAGCUUCUAACUUUUCCUAGAGCAGUUAAAAUCUGUUCAUAUUCCU
rnacentral:tRNA from 1 species